UGACUGGCUGAAGAAGUAUGUGAACUAUGGAGGAGCUCUCUGAUGAGAACAGACCUCCCCACAGUGUCUCUCCUCCAGAAGACUCCCUCCUCUCGGGUCACCUGCCACGCUACAGUUUCUACCC